rnacentral:rRNA from 1 species
GUUGUAUGGUUAAGUGACUAAGCGUACACGGUGGAUGCCUUGGCAGUCAGAGGCGAUGAAAGACGUAGUAACUUGCGAUAAGCCCAGAUUAGGUAGUAACAACCAUUUGAGUCUGGGAUUUCUGAAUGGGGAAACCCACGUGCAUAAGCACGUAUCCUUACCUGAAUACAUAGGGUAAGGAGGCGAACCGGGGGAACUGAAACAUCUAAGUACCCCGAGGAAAAGAAAUCAACCGAGAUUCCGAAAGUAGCGGCGAGCGAAAUUGGACUAGCCCUUAAGCUUUACACGCGUUAGACGAACGGUCUGGAAAGUCCGACGAUACAGGGUGAUAGUCCCGUAGUUGACGACGUGUGUUCAGUGAAAUCGAGUAGGGCGGGACACGUGAUAUCCUGUCUGAAUAUGGGGGGACCAUCCUCCAAGGCUAAAUACUACUGACUGACCGAUAGUGAACCAGUACCGUGAGGGAAAGGCGAAAAGAACCCCUGUGAGGGGAGUGAAAUAGAACCUGAAACCGUGUACGUACAAGCAGUAGGAGCAGGCUUUGUCCUGUGACUGCGUACCUUUUGUAUAAUGGGUCAGCGACUUAUAUUCAGUGGCAAGGUUAACCAUCUAGGGGAGCCGUAGGGAAACCGAGUCUUAACUGGGCGUUCAGUCUCUGGAUAUAGACCCGAAACCAGGUGAUCUAGCCAUGGGCAGGUUGAAGGUUGAGUAACAUCAACUGGAGGACCGAACCGACUAAUGUUGAAAAAUUAGCGGAUGACUUGUGGCUAGGGGUGAAAGGCCAAUCAAACCUGGAGAUAGCUGGUUCUCCCCGAAAGCUAUUUAGGUAGCGCCUCGGACGAAUACUACUGGGGGUAGAGCACUGUUAAGGCUAGGGGGUCAUCCCGACUUACCAACCCUUUGCAAACUCCGAAUACCAGUAAGUACUAUCCGGGAGACACACGGCGGGUGCUAACGUCCGUCGUGGAGAGGGAAACAACCCAGACCGCCAGCUAAGGUCCCAAAUUACUACUAAGUGGGAAACGAUGUGGGAAGGCUCAGACAGCCAGGAUGUUGGCUUAGAAGCAGCCAUCAUUUAAAGAAAGCGUAAUAGCUCACUGGUCGAGUCGGCCUGCGCGGAAGAUGUAACGGGGCUAAGUAGUAAACCGAAGCUGCGGCAAUAUACUUUUGUAUAUUGGGUAGGGGAGCGUUCUGUAAGCGGUUGAAGGUGUGUGGUAACGCAUGCUGGACGUAUCAGAAGUGCGAAUGCUGACAUGAGUAACGAUAAAGGGGGUGAAAAACCUCCUCGCCGGAAGACCAAGGGUUCCUGUCCAACGUUAAUCGGGGCAGGGUAAGUCGACCCCUAAGGCGAGGCCGAAAGGCGUAGUCGAUGGGAAACGGGUUAAUAUUCCCGUACUUCUUACAAUUGCGAUGGGGGGACGGAGAAGGCUAGGUGGGCCUGGCGACGGUUGUCCAGGUUCAAGUGCGUAGGCUURAGAGUUAGGUAAAUCCGGCUCUYUUUAAGGCUGAGACACGACGUCGAGCACCUACGGGUGUGAAGUCAUUGAUGCCAUGCUUCCAGGAAAAGCCUCUAAGCUUCAGAUUGUAAGGAAUCGUACCCCAAACCGACACAGGUGGUCGGGUAGAGAAUACCAAGGCGCUUGAGAGAACUCGGGUGAAGGAACUAGGCAAAAUGGUACCGUAACUUCGGGAGAAGGUACGCUCUYGAYGGUGAAGUCCCUUGCGGAUGGAGCURWYGAGAGUCGCAGAUACCAGGUGGCUGCAACUGUUUAUUAAAAACACAGCACUGUGCAAAAUCGUAAGAUGACGUAUACGGUGUGACGCCUGCCCGGUGCCGGAAGGUUAAUUGAUGGGGUUAGACUUCGGUCGAAGCUCUUGAUCGAAGCCCCGGUAAACGGCGGCCGUAACUAUAACGGUCCUAAGGUAGCGAAAUUCCUUGUCGGGUAAGUUCCGACCUGCACGAAUGGCGUAAUGAUGGCCACGCUGUCUCCACCCGAGACUCAGUGAAAUUGAAAUCGCUGUGAAGAUGCAGUGUACCCGCGGCUAGACGGAAAGACCCCGUGAACCUUUACUACAGCUUGGCACUGAACAUUGACCCUACAUGUGUAGGAUAGGUGGGAGGCUUUGAAGCACGUACGCCAGUAUGUGUGGAGCCGUCCUUGAAAUACCACCCUUGUAGUGUUGAUGUUCUAACGUCGACCCCUUAUCGGGGUUGCGGACAGUGCCUGGUGGGUAGUUUGACUGGGGCGGUCUCCUCCCAAAGAGUAACGGAGGAGCACGAAGGUGGGCUAAUCACGGUUGGACAUCGUGAGGUUAGUGCAAUGGCAUAAGCCCGCUUGACUGCGAGAAUGACAAUUCGAGCAGGUGCGAAAGCAGGUCAUAGUGAUCCGGUGGUUCUGAAUGGAAGGGCCAUCGCUCAACGGAUAAAAGGUACUCCGGGGAUAACAGGCUGAUACCGCCCAAGAGUUCAUAUCGACGGCGGUGUUUGGCACCUCGAUGUCGGCUCAUCACAUCCUGGGGCUGAAGUCGGUCCCAAGGGUAUGGCUGUUCGCCAUUUAAAGUGGUACGCGAGCUGGGUUUAGAACGUCGUGAGACAGUUCGGUCCCUAUCUGCCGUGGGCGUUGGAAGAUUGAAGGGGGCUGCUCCUAGUACGAGAGGACCGGAGUGGACGAACCUCUGGUGUUCGGGUUGUGUCGCCAGACGCAUUGCCCGGUAGCUAAGUUCGGAAUCGAUAACCGCUGAAAGCAUCUAAGCGGGAAGCGAGCCCUGAGAUGAGUCUUCCCUGAUACUUUAAGUAUCCUAAAGGGUUGUCGGAGACUACGACGUUGAUAGGUCAGGUGUGUAAGUGCUGUGAGGCAUUGAGCUAACUGAUACUAAUUGCCCGUGAGGCUUAACCAUACAACACCCAAGGGGUUU